AACAUAUAUGGUAAGUUAAUACAUAUCAUAUAUGGUAAGUUACUACAUGUCUAAAUAUAGAAAAUUAUGCAAGAAUAUAUGCAAUCCAUAUAGUCUAUAUUAUAGAAAUAAAAGUUCAACUAAUCCUUUACUAGUAGUAAAGGGUUAGUUGAACAAUUAUUUCUAUAAUAUAGACUAAAUGGAUGAUUUAUGGUCUUUUUUAACUUUAUAUUUUAGAUAUAUGACAUGUAGUAACAUACCAUAUUAGUUUAAAUCAGUUGUAAAAUUAAAAAUGUUAACAUCUUUGAUAGGUAUAUUUAUUUAGGUUAGUUACAGCUAAGUUUACAUGGCUAGUUAAUAUGCUUUUAUAAAUUGCAAUUUUUAUUAAUUUCCAAAUUAAACAUGUAGCAUCCAAUAUCAUAAACUAAGUUUAUACUGGUGUGUUUAUAUUAUUUUAGAAUUUUUUGUUUUAGACACAUGGCAUUUGCUAUCCCACUAAUUUGCUGCUUUAGAGGCACGGCAUUUAGUGUCACAUUGUAGGUUUAAAUUGGUUGUAGAAUUUAUAUUGUAACUUGCAUAUUUAUUUAGUUGAGUUUAAUCUAAGUUUAUAUUUGAUGUGUUUGUAUUAUUUUAGAAUUUACUGUUUUAGACACGUGACAUGUGGUAUCUCACUAUAAGUUUGAAUUAGUAAACUUAAAAAAAAUUAUAUAUUUUAACUUGCAUUUCUUUUGACGUUCAUGUUUAUAUAAUUAGAUUACAACUAAGUUUGUGUAUGGCUUGUUUAUAUUAUUUCAGAAUUUGCUAUUUUAGACACUUGGUAUAAGCUGUCAUACUAAUUUGCUGUUUUAGACACGUGAC